rnacentral:rRNA from 1 species
AGUGGCGGACGGGUGAGUAUCGCGUAAGAAUCUAACUUCAGGACGGGGACAACAGUUGGAAACGACUGCUAAUACCCGAUGUGCCGCAAGGUGAAACCUAAUUGGCCUGAAGAAGAGCUUGCGUCUGAUUAGCUAGUUGGUGGGGUAAAGGCCUACCAAGGCGACGAUCAGUAGCUGGUCUGAGAGGAUGAGCAGCCACACUGGGACUGAGACACGGCCCAGACUCCUACGGGAGGCAGCAGUGGGGAAUUUUCCGCAAUGGGCGAAAGCCUGACGGAGCAACGCCGCGUGAGGGAGGAAGGUCUUUGGAUUGUAAACCUCUUUUCUCAAGGAAGAAGUUCUGACGGUACUUGAGGAAUCAGCCUCGGCUAACUCCGUGCCAGCAGCCGCGGUAAUACGGGGGAGGCAAGCGUUAUCCGGAAUUAUUGGGCGUAAAGCGUCCGCAGGUGGUCAGCCAAGUCUGCCGUCAAAUCAGGUUGCUUAACGACCUAAAGGCGGUGGAAACUGGCAGACUAGAGAGCAGUAGGGGUAGCAGGAAUUCCCAGUGUAGCGGUGAAAUGCGUAGAGAUUGGGAAGAACAUCGGUGGCGAAAGCGUGCUACUGGGCUGUAUCUGACACUCAGGGACGAAAGCUAGGGGAGCGAAAGGGAUUAGAUACCCCUGUAGUCCUAGCCGUAAACGAUGGAUACUAGGCGUGGCUU